CCAGGCUCACUGCUGUCCCGGGAGCCCACUCCCGAUCCUUGGCUUCCGUCUCGCCUUCCCUGAACACCUAGCUUGUACCAGCGUGGCGCUGGGGAAGCAUUUGUGGAGACAGGGCAACGUGUGGAGGUAAAUGCGACGCAAAAUGCUGGGGGGAGCUCUAAGAAGCAGGAAGGGGCAAAAGAGUUAGUUUUCUGGGCUCCUUUCUCUCACUGACCCCAGAUUACUACAGAUUACUGGGGGGUGCCAGUAUGCCCAUUUUACGGAACGACAGAGAGAUCAAAUGGCUUCCCUGGGGCCAUUUAAUGCCAAACGUGGCACACCAAGCUUCUGCCUCAUCCCAGCUCCUCGGGUGAAAAGGCUUACCUCCGCCCAGGAGUGUGGGCAGCGGCUUAACCGUGUAAGUAACGAGUAACCCAAGUGCCCAGGCUGUGCUCUCCUCCAGUCCUGAUGAAGUGGGAAAAGUUGGAGCACCCGGGGCGGGGUCGCGACCUCUUACCGCCUCCUGCCCUCACCUCCUGAGUGAUCUCUUGCAGUCACCAGCGCUAGAGGCUGGCAGUUCCCCCGCGUUCCGCCCCUCCAUAAAAAUAUAUGUAUUUCCAGCCUGAACUUCUCCAAACUCCAACCUCCAGUUUUGUUUAUUCAGCUGCCUACUGGAUAUCUGUCUCCAGCCGAAUGUCUAAAAGAUGCUGAAAUUUAACUUGUUUGAAGCUUUGCCCCCAAACCUGCUCCAUCCAUAGCGUUCCUCUUUCCCCUUUCCAUGAAGAGCAAACCAUUUUUUUCAGGAGGUGCCCAGGUCAAUAACCUUGGAGCCACCCUUGACUCCUCUUACUUUCACACUCCAAAUGGUGCCUACCAGAAAAUGCUUCUGUGUAUAUCCAGAAUCUGACCAUUUCUUAUGGCAUCUGGUACUACUACUUGGGCCUACACCAAUCUCAUCAUUUCUCCCCUGGGUUAUUAUGGCAGCCUCUUAAUCAGUCUCCUUGUUUCUACUUUGCCCCCUGCUAGUGUACUCUUAGAUCCCGGAUCCUGUUCUAGCCAGAGUAAUCCUGUUCUAUCAGAGAACUCAGAACUUCCAGUCACUCCCCACCUUACUGAGGAUCAUAGUUUAAAUCCUUCCGUCUAGGCUCCUGAGUGACCACUCCGCCCCCUCUGACCCUUCUACUCCCUUUCUCCUUGCCCAAGCUCACACCCAUCCAGCCACACUGUGAGUCCCGCCUUAGGGUCUUUGCUGUUCCCUCUGACUGGGCUGUCGGUGCCCCACUCCCAUUAGCAUAGUUUUCUUCCAGUUUUUGCUGAAUACCAUCCUCUGGGUAAAGUUCCUCCCCCCCCCCCUGUUUAGCCUUGUAACCCAAUCCCUGCCUUUUCCUUUUUCUCUGCUUAAUUUUUCUCCCUGGUACCUAACUUUUAUACUCCCAUUUACCUUUGCCCCUCUUGUUGCUUCUGCCCUUCUACAAGAAUGUAAAUAACAUAUAUGAGGGUAAGGAUUUUUAAAAGUUGUAUCUGCAAAUGCAUAGAACAGUGCCUGGCACAUGGAAGGCACUCAAUAAAUAUUUGUUUAUGAGUGAACCCACAAUAAAAUGGGAGGAAGGGAGUAGCUCCACCAUAUACUAGCUCUAUGAUCUUGGGCAAGUUAUUUAACUCCAUUUUCUCAUCUGUAAAAUGAUGGUAGAUACUUCCUUAUAGGGUUCCCAAUGUUAUUAAAUAAGUAAAUACACAAAGAACACUAAACACAGAAGAACACAGUAAGUGGUAGUGAUUGUUACUGAUAUGUAAUAUUUAUAGCAUGUAAGCAAGUCAGACUUCUAAGUGAGCAUAUAUAUCAGUAUUCUACCUUACUGACAUUUAGAAGUUUUCCUAUUUGUAGUGGUGCUAUGUAAAUUAGAAUGUAGCAUCCUGAAAUCAUUUGUUAUGGGUAUUUCUUUGUAUAGUGCCUUGGAAGUGUGUGGUCACUGUUAGCUGCUGACAGCUGAGGGAGAAACGUCCAUCUUUUGCUUAGUUUGCAUCAGCAUCAUCACGUACCAUCCCGGUCAUCUUCCAUGGAAAGGAGGAAGGGGAAAUUCGAUUCCUUGAGAGAAUGUGAGUUAUCCCCUUUUAUGAUUCUAUUAUGGAAAUUCUUCUGAAGGUGUAAAAGGAUAGGCUGCCGCGCGUAUGGGGUGGAAUGGAGGAAGAGGCACUUGACUAGAACCGUGCUUCCCUUCAGGUCCCUAACCUGUUUCCUUAGGCAGAUCUCCCAAGGGAGGGCUCACUGGUGGGGGUUGGAGGGUGGAUGAUAGGAUUUAGUAAGGGAAAUUGGCCGGUAGGUCCAUCCUGCUCUUACUUCUCUCUGGCUGGCCCAGCUUCUCCAGUGGCUCCUCCCUCCCUUUGCUCCAGCAGCUGUCCACUCUGUUUAGACUGGCACCUAUGCCUCUUCUCGCUAUGAGACACGCUGUGUUUGCUGUGUAACUCCCCCCCACCUCCUCCACCCAAGUGAGCUCCAAGGGGACAGCACUUGUUGUCUCUUAACAUUCCCUGCUUUCUUUCUUGUUCCUAGGACAGGUCCUGGCACACAGGGGCACUGUCAAUAAAUUCUUGUUGAUUGAAUGAGCUCUCCUACAAAGCUUAUUUAAUUCCACCUAGCAGCCCCUGACAUUAAUUGAACCAGUCCUUAUGCCAGAACACUUUAAAUGCAUUAUCUCAUAUUAUUCUCACAACAGAACUCAGGUUGGUGCUGUUAGAAUUCCCAUUUUACAAAGAGAGAAAGUGAAGACCAGUGAGGUUAAGUAACUUGCCCAGGGUCACGCAGCAGCUGAUAAAUAGGGGAGCUAAUGACAGAAACCACACAGUCUGGGUCCGGGACCUGAGUCCCAACCAUCUUUGGUUAGAAGAUGAAGAGGACUGAUCGCAGCAUCAGGUUCAAUAAGCCUGGAACCGGAGAGGUCUUAAGGUUGAAAGGAGGAGGCCAGAGGUCGCCGCCAUCAAAAUCGUCCCUUCCGAGCUUCUGUGGCUGCUGGGUGGGUCCUGAGGCUUCACAUGCGACCAUCAGUGUGCCCAGGAGGUUAAGCAGAGAAGCCUCUUCAAAAAUGCCCUCCCUUCAAAGUACCUGCUGGUGGCCAAACAUCUCUACUUUUCCGCGUGGGAAUAAGGGGCCAGUGGGAUGUAGAUGAGCCACCAAAGGCCCGACAGAUUGAGCCCUGAGCUGUCAAGGGUUUCCCCCGGCCAGGGGCUCCGCCACCUUCCGAUCCCCUUGGAAGACCCCGAAG
rnacentral:lncRNA from 1 species